GAUAGGCUCGUCCUGGAACUGCGGAGAGGCCACCACCCGGAAACUGGAGCUGAGCAGGCGUUAACAGGAACUUGAGAGGUUGGUCGGUCUAUUUCUGCUUCACCACACAAUGCUCUCUGUUUUCAUUUAUGAAGAGUGAGAACCUCUUAGCAUCAUGAAGGUAAUUUAAGAGACGACAAGGCAAUCAGAAUGAGCAGGUGCCAGACUGCAGGGAUUCUGAUGGCUGAAUGUCUAGAUUACAACACCCGCCCUUUUCUCUCGGGGGGCUCAGACACCCGAGAGCAGAGCUCAGGCUGGGAUAUGUGACCCCAUACUCUCACGACACACUAAUGCUUCUGCCUGGCUCACGGGUGGGCACCCAAUUGGAGUGGAACCGGCCAGAGUUUUCCCCUAUUGAGUUUUCAUGUUGGGACAUCUGGAGGUAAGAGGAGCAGGGAUGAGAGUUGGAAGCCGUGGCUUGGCAUGUUCUCAACUACAUCGGGGAAGUCUUCAGGUAGAGGCUGUGAAGUCAUUCUCAUCUGCUUCUCUGACCCAGCUGCCACUCAUCUUUUCGUGUGUGGGUGAGACACCUUUGGUCCGAGCUUGUUUAAACUGAACUUCUGUUACUUCAGACCAAAGUACGCUAUGUUAGUCAUCUUUCUGCCGUCAUGACAAGACAUCCCAGAAGGCCAGAAGGUCAACCAGAAGGAGAAAAUGCCUGCACCACCAGAUGGGAAUCAAGCUUUCAACAUACGAACUUUUGGGAUGGGGAUUUAAGAUCCAACCACAGGGUCUGGAGACAUGACUCAGUGUUUAAGAGCCAUCGGCGGCUCUUCCGGAGGACCCAGGCACCAGGCGUCCAUACAGGUGAAACACCCAUACACAUUAAACAGCAGCAGCCACACCAUGCGGCGCUGACUCACGGAAACAAAACCUUCCUGAGCGCGUGGGAGACCAAGAGUCAUAGACUUUCAGUCCCACUACCUGCCCCUGGACCUUAAGAGAGACCUUGCUUCUGAAGGAAAUGGUUGCAGGGGUUCAGCCUCUUUGAACCAUACACAUUGAGAUUCCAUGAAGCUCACAGGAAACAAAGUACGACUUGAGGAUAUUUCAUAACCGCCUUGUUCUGAAAACCUCCUUGUUGCAGCCUUUGCUCUGCAGCCCUCCAUCUGACUUUGACAUGCCUGUUCUGACUUGGGGAACACUAGAGUGGUGUAGAGGAGCACUAGGCUUAACUUGAGGAGCAUAGGCUGGGAUGGGGAGCACUGAGUUGAGAUUGAGGAACACUGGACUGGGAGUCCUGCUUUUGUCCCUUUCUGGUCACAUGACGUCAGGUAAAUCUCUGAGCCUUGUCUGGGAGUUUAUUUCCUCAUCUAUAAAGGGAGGAGAAUGCUAAUACAUGACUCAUGAGUUUAUUGGGAACAAAGCUCUAAAUUGAAGUGCCGGGACGGCGGCAGAGGGAAAGCAGACCACGUGAUCUGACAGCUCUUCAGUUGCUGGAUUGUGUUCAGUGCCAUUUAAUAAGUGUUGCUGAGGGGUCACCACACGCCAGCUCUGUUUGGGGAUCCUGCAAUGAGCAGGACAGGUAAGAGUUGUCCUAAGCGAUCGAUGUGACUGUGGGGACAGCUGGUCUCCAACAAGUACAUCAGGAAUUAAGCAGUUUAGAAAACCUCGAAUGGAGAGAGUCCUAAUGACAACAACACAAAAAUCUGGGACAGGGAGUCGCGUGUGCUUGAAAUGGGGACAUUCUGAGCACACGUGAGGCUCUUGGUGUCCAAAUAUAAGCCCAGAAACUGGAUGUGUUAUUUGUCAUCUUUCCAAGCCCCAAGACUCACAAGACCUCUCAGCACCCCUUUUCCAGCUCCCUUUUGUCCUGUCCCACCCAUUGUCAGCAUCUUAUCCCUGAAGCCUGUGCUGUGCAGCACUUCACAGUUUACAAUACCCUUUCUGUGCAUUCUCGUUUGUUAUCCCCACAGCCCUGAGACCAGGGAGCAGGUGCCCUGUCUCAGAAGGAAAAGGUAAGUGAUUUGUAAGGCGUAGCUCUUGCCCCACAUUCUGAAUAAAGGUUUUUAACUCCAAGUUAAGUGUGUCUCCCACAGGGCUACAUAACUGGUUGUAUUUUGUUCUUUAUGCACUUAUUCCCUUGUUAGUAAUGGCCCCGUACAUCCCUGUGAAUCUGAGGUCAGUGUUCAAAUAACCUUUGGUAUCUUGUAAACUGUCAGGACAUAAACCUGAGCUUGUUGGCCUUGGGCCACAGGCGUGCAAGCUCUCUAAAGGAAACAACACUAGUGGCUCACCCACCGCUCCUUCCAUAUCUGAACACCCACUUGUCCUGGAAGGGAGAUGCAGCUUCCAGCAGAUAACUCUCCAUGACCACUGGAUGUCAGCACUGCUCUGUGCUUGAUAAUUGAACCUCUUGGUGGGGUGGGCAGAGCCCAUUGUACCAGGGUUUCCAGUGAAUCCGAGAGGAGCCUUGACCUGAGGCAAAGUGCACAUCAGUUACAUAUUCUAAAUAACCUCUGGGUUUCCCUGGCCCCCUCUCUCCUCUGCUUCUCUGGACCCCAUCUUUAGGGGUGCAUGCUAGGAUGUGAGCGUGAAGUGUCACCCACAGGCUUGCUGUUGGAUGCUUGGUCCUCAGAUUGUGAUGCUAUUUUAGGAGUUUGCAGAAACUUGAGGAGUUGAGCCCGACUGUCAGAAGUAGGUCACUGGGAUUUUGAAGGUUAUUCCGGAUUUGGCUAUUUCCUCUUUUUAUAUCUGCUGUCUUCUAGGAGGUGAAGAAUCUCCUCCGCCACAUUCUUCCAAUGACAUGGUGUUUCUGCCCAAGCUCAUGGAACUGUGCAACCAGGACUGUGAACUAGGAGGAGUCGCACUUAGCCAGAUAUCUCCAGACUGGCAUAUGAGCCUUGCCUUUCCAUGCCUUUUCUUUUGGGAGCUUUUUUGACUUAUGGAAGCUUCCCAGACCUACAGUGUGGUAUGUACAACAUCAGGGGCUUGAUGCUCAUCGAAUGAGACCAAGCAGUGUGGUCUAUGACUGGUGGAUGCUCACUUGGUGAGUUCUGAGUCAGCUGUUCUAGGACCUGGAAAGGUCUUCAGAGUGGAUCUGGAUGGAUUCAUCAAACUGCUAGUGGAUCAUGUGGGGGGAACUCCCAGCACGAGAUGCUAUGGCUUCAUGCUUUCUUUGUAGAAUUGUUUCAAAACCCUGAGUGUGGGACUGAAGAGGUGGCUCAGUGUUGAAGAUCGCAUGUGGCACAGUGGCAAGGACCCCAGCACGCAGGCAGGAGUGGAGUUCCAGGGCGUAGGAAGGACGAGAAGCAGCUCCUGGGAUCACUGUGGAGCACGACUGGUGCCGGCCCAGAGUCAGAAGCAGAAACCAUUUUAUAUGUUUCUAUCUUCCCUCUGUCUUUUUCUUCUCCUUGGGAGGCUUCCAUUGAGCUGUGAAGCUGUAUUUACCAGGGGUGGGCAGAUGGCUUAGGGAGUGAAGUCCCUUCUGUGUGAGCAUCAGGAUCUGAGUGUGAAUCCCUAGCACUGAUGUAAAAGCUGGGUGUGGUCUGUCACUCUAGUGCUGAGGAAUCAGACAAGCCUUGCCAGAGCUCAGUGGCCAUCUAGGGUAGCCAGAGUGCGAGCUCUGGGGUCAGUGAGUCUUCCUCCCAAACGAAUAAGAUGAACAAUAGCAGAAAACACCUGGUAUCAACCUCUGCCUACCUAUGCAUGUGCACACGUGUGAAAGGCAUCCAUAUAUAUACACUCACAUGUAUGCGCUAUAACACAUAGACGUACACAGACGCAUAGACAUACACAGACACACAGACAUACACAGACACACAGAUAAACACACAGGCAUACACAGACACACAGACAUAUACAGACACACAGGCAUACACAGACACACAAACACACAGACACACAUGCUACACGCACAGAUCCAUUUCCCAGAUUGUGUUACCGGUUGGAUGGCAGACAGACUGGGCAGUAGGGAGGUUUGGGAGGGGUUGACAUGCAUCGAGGCAGAGUAUAGCAGCCCACUUCCAGCUGUACACGUUUUAUCUUAUCUCACCAAGUAAUUGGAGUUUUCAUGAGGAAACUAUGUCAAGGGCGACAGAGUCUCUCUUUUAUGAGAUGCCACAUGCCAACUCUCGCAUGCAGUUACUUUCUUUUCAAACAAUCCACAACAGCAGAACUCCCUGCCACAGCCACAGUCAGUUUCUGUUUCCAUUAUAAAUCUGAUUUUGCAGGACCAUGUCUGACAUGUCAUCUUCAUUAGGGCUUCAACUGUGUGUAUGUAUGUACAUGUUAAUCCAAAAAUUUGGGCUUUGGAAGGAUGGUUUAAUAGUACGGAUUUAAGCAAAAAGAAUGCAUUGGAUACUUUGCUUAUAGCUGUGACAAAAUACCAGAUAAAAAAUCUUAAAGAGAGGAAGGCUUGGCCUUAGCUUACAGUUUUACAGGUUUUGUCAGGGAAGGUCUGGCAAAGGUUGAUAUUGGGAGCAUGUGACUGGGACUCCUCACAUCUUGGUGGCAGGCAAGGAGCAGAGGAUGGAGACCAGGACCAGAAAGAGGUGUAACCCUCAAUGCUCUGCCAACUAGUGAGCUACUACUGCCAGCACGGCCCAUGUCCCAAACAGUGCUACCAUCUGAGGACGGAGUGUUCAAACACACGGAGUCUGUGCAGUGCAUUUCAAACACCCAGCUGGCAUCCCGUGUCUCUCGUCAGCUUUGGUCAAUUAGUGGCGGAAGACUAGAAUGCUGAGUUGAGAAAGAUUUUUAGAGUGAGUAUAGCAUCGUGAUGGAUUAGUGAUGUCUAUCACAGCCCUAAGCGGUUGAUUAGUGAUGUCUACCGCAGCCCUCUGUGUGGAAGGGGAUAGUGGCAAAGGAACCAUUCCUGUAUAAAUUAGAGUAAGUUUCCUCCUAACACAGACCCCAUCUCUUCAUGGUAUUUGAUAGCUGCAAAAUUAUUUUAAUGAGAUUAUAUUUUCAUUUAUCUAUUCUGCCAACUGGGUAAAAACAGUAGGACUAAUACAUUUUCCUAUUAAUGAAUCUGUCUGUUUUAUGUUUACUAAAGAGUUACUCUACUAGGCUGUGGGAAACUCCCUAAGGAUAUAACCAUUAGUUUCUUUCUUUUCUGUUUUCACAUGCUGCCCCUCAUGUGAGACGUGUGGGCUGGUUCCUAUCUCCUUCAACAUGGCCCUUCUUAGUGAGUUGCUCGACCCACAGGAUGCAACUGACUCGAUGCCCAGUACUUUCCAGAAGGUCCCAAGCAGGCUCUCAGUUUCUGCCUGUAUCCCCUUGAAACCUUUGCAUUCUGAGUUCUCAUCUGCCACCCAGGAAACAGAUGCUCGGGAGAGAUCUUCGGAGAAGACUUGAGGCUAGAGGAAGGGUAGAGCUGAUUCCAGCCUCAUAGUUACUCCCCUGAGGGGUCAGCUAUGUCAGGAACCAUCCUUGAUCUUCUAGAUCAGCUUCCUCGCCAGCUGAACACCACACAGAUGGUGUCAAACAUUCUAACUCCUCAUGCGUUCUUCAAGGGAAAAGCCUGACAUUGGAAGUGACUAAGUUUUGGGGGUGUCUGUCAUGGUGCAAUGUUAUGUUGUGUAACCAGAACACUGGCGUGGAUUUUUGUAGGAUUAAGUAAGACCCACUAUUGACCCACACAGUGUAUAAUCUUUUGAGAGAGAUAGACACGUGAACCAAUCAGCAAAAACGUGGUGGAACCAAACACGCCAGAUUUAACGGUGAACCGAAGGGUAGGAGAUGUCUCUACAUAACAGGGUAGGGAAACAGACUAGCAGGGGCUAGUCUCUUUGUCCUUUGACCUCAAUGAUUUAGGACCCAUUGCAUGGAACACAAGAAGUAAUUUUUUUUAAAGAGAAAAUCUCAAAAUUAGAGAGA